rnacentral:rRNA from 1 species
UACGUAGGUGGCAAGCGUUGUCCGGAAUUAUUGGGCGUAAAGCGCGCGCAGGCGGUCUUUUAAGUCUGAUGUGAAAGCCCACGGCUCAACCGUGGAGGGUCAUUGGAAACUGGGAGACUUGAGUGCAGAAGAGAAGAGUGGAAUUCCACGUGUAGCGGUGAAAUGCGUAGAUAUCGGAAGGAACAUCAGUGGCGAAAGCGACUUCCUGGACCAGUACCGACGUUCAGGCACGAAAGCGUGGGGGGCAAACAGG